GGUGGGGAUAGAGCUCAGUUGGUAGAGUGCUUGCUUUGCCCGCACAAGGCCCUGGGUUCAACCUCCAGCUCCACCA
rnacentral:tRNA from 1 species